UAUGUCAUUCUAUGGAGUGAUACAAGAGAUAUGGGAACUCAAGUAUAAUACGUUUAAUGUUCCGGUGUUUAAAUGCGAUUGGGUUCAGAAUAGUGGUGGUGUUCGGAUCGAUGAACUUGGUUAUACUUUAGUUGAUUUAAAUAGAGUAGGACACAAGUUAGACUCAUUUAUACUAGCAAGCCAAGCAAAGCAAGUGUUUUAUGUUGAGGAUCUAAGUGAUGUUAGAUGGUCAGUUGUACUCACUCCACCACAAAGAGACUUUGAAGAUAGAUAUAAUGACGAUGAACUUGGUGAUACAAUACUCCGGUGUGAAGGAAUACCCAAUGAUAUGCCAGAUGUCUAUUUAAACAAUGAUUUGGAUGAAAAUGUCUCAACGUACGUAAGGUCAGAUUGUGAAGGCACAUGGCUACCUACAUAAUAUUAUAAUGCUUCGCAUAAUAUAAUAUGGACGAUCUUAAUGAAGAAGUUGGUGUCGGUGAGUUGAAUGCAACAGUUGAAGAAACCCCAAAAGAGUUGAAGCGACGACGAGGACCUACUAUUAUGUUUGAUGUAACUCGCAUUAGAAGUUUGGGAGACAAGAAGGUGGUGAGGUACAAUGAAGACGGAGCACCUAUUGGGAUGAAUGGAGCGAAGUUAAAGUCUUUCAUAGGGUCUGCAACUCAUUAUCAUGUCCCUAUCACAUAUAUGUCUUGGAAAAGUGUGCCUGCAAAACUGAAAGAUAAGAUAUUCACUACAGUUGAGGCUACAUUCGUCAUUGAUCCAAGAUCUAGGAAAAAUGUUCUCCAAACUGCAAGUAUUUCGUUUCGUCAGUUUAAGAACUGGCUAACAACGAAAUACAUCAUCCCACAUAAAGAUGAACCACAAUUGCUUCAAGUUCCACCUGAAAAGUAUUCCUUCAUUGAGCAAAAUCAUUGGGAAGAGUUUGUAAGGUCAAGGUUAUCAGAGACCUUUCAGAUAUAGGAAAAAAGAAAAUUACAACAAGAUAGACGAUCGAAGAACAAAUACAAUCAUAGAAUCUCAAGGAAGGGGUAUGCCAAUCUUAAGGAGGAAAUGAAGGAGGGUUCAAAUGAAGUUUAUGUUGAUCGAGCUAAACUAUGAAAGAAAGCUCGAGUUAACAAACAAGGACAGUACGACAACGACGACAUUCAGCAAGUCGUCCAUAAAAUAGAUGAGAUAUCAAUGAAUACAGAUUCAUCGUCUGUGAAUAGACACUGUUCGAAUGAUGUAUUGACACAAGCAUUGGGUACGAAAGAGCACAAUGGUCGUGUGCGUGGGGUUGGUGGAUACGUUACUCCAACAACGUACUUUCAUUCAGUUAAGAAAACAUCAAAAGAUGAGGCGAACAUUCUAGUUGAGAAUGAAGAACUCCGUAGGCGAGUUAGUGAAUUAGAGGCACAAAUUUGCUCAAACUUAUCUACACCAUUGUCUGCACACGGGAGUUGUUCAAGGCCAAUAGUGUUAGAGGGGAUUGAAGAGAAAGGUAAGAGAAUAGAAAUGGAAUCGUUGGACAAACCAAAACAUAAGGAAAAGAAAGGGAAGGAGGUGAUGAAGAUGAAUGAACCAGAGUUGGACGUCUUGAAGGAGAGGGACUUAAUAAAAAUGCCUACAGAAGUUGUAUGUGAAUCGACAUCAACUUUUCCAUUAGCGUUGAAGUCGAUUCUCAGAUAUGCUGAAAAGGUAAUGGAGAAAGAUUCCAGCAUCACUUUUUCACUACCCGCUGACCUUUUUGGCGUUAGUCGAAAGACUUCUGUGCUUCGUGAGGAUAUCGUUGAUCUUUGUAACAUGAACGAAGUGAAAACGUUUACAUUGGUGGCCUAUAUGAUGUAAGUCAAUUUCAUUCCUUUGCAUCUAAAUUUAUGUAUCUCUUUUACGAGUUUAUAUAUUUUGUAUGUACUUGCAUUCAUCUGUUAGUGGUUCGAAAGAAAAUAUGCAGUAUGUCUUUGUAGAUCCGUCCCUAAUCUCUUCUGGAAACACACAAGAAUCUCGAAUUCGAAACUUGUGUAGUAGAUUGAUGGUGUCCAAACCCGACCAAGUAGCUCUUGCUCCUUUUAAUCCCGGGUAAGUUUAGUUAGGGUAUUGGUUGCAUUGACAAUAAAAUAGUACCUACAUUUUUGUAUAAUUAGGGGUCAUUGGGCACUGCUUGCUAUAAAUGCGUAUGAGGAUACAGUGUUUUACCUUGACUCGCUAAGGACGACAUCAAAAGCAACUACAAGAUAUGUAACCGACACAGUAAUAGCAAUAUUUCACUCGCAAAAGAACAUUAAUAAAAGCAGGAAACAAACUUUAUGACG